rnacentral:rRNA from 1 species
AGAGUUUGAUCAUGGCUCAGGAAGAACGCUAGCGGCAGGCCUUAUACAUGCAAGUCGAGGGGCAGCAUUUACUUCGGUAAAUGGCGACCGGCGCACGGGUGAGUAACGCGUAUGCAACCUACCUUUAACUGGGGCAUAGCUCGAGGAAACUCGAAUUAAUUCCCCAUAGUACAUCAUAAUAUCGCAUGAUAUAGAUGUUAAAGAUUUAUCGGUUAAAGAUGGGCAUGCGUCUGAUUAGUUUGUUGGUAAGGUAACGGCUUACCAAGACUACGAUCAGUAGGGGGUCUGAGAGGAUGAUCCCCCACACUGGUACUGAGACACGGACCAGACGUCUACGGACGGCAGCAGUAAGGAAUAUUGGGCAAUGGGCGAAAGCCUGACCCAGCCAUGCCGCGUGCAGGAUGACGACCCUAUGGGUUGUAAACUGCUUUUAUAUAGGAAGAAAAUACUCUUGCGAGAGGAUCUGACGGUACUAUAUGAAUAAGAACCGGCUAACUCCGUGCCAGCAGCCGCGGUAAUACGGAGGGUUCAAGCGUUUUCCGGAUUUAUUGGGUUUAAAGGGUGCGUAGGUGGUUUAUUAAGUCAGUGGUGAAAUCCUGCAGCUCAACUGUAGAACUGCCAUUGAUACUGAUAAACUUGAGUUUGGUUUAGGUAAGUGGAAUUUAUGAUGUAGCGGUGAAAUGCAUAGAUAUCAUAAGGAACACCAAUAGCGAAGGCAGCUUACUGGACCAUAACUGACACUGAGGCACGAAAGCGUGGGUAGCGAACAGGAUUAGAUACCCUGGUAGUCCACGCCGUAAACGAUGCUCACUCGAUGUUAGCGAUAUACUGUUAGCGUCCAAGCUAAAGCGUUAAGUGAGCCACCUGGGGAGUACGCCGGCACGUGAAACUCAAAGGAUUGA